rnacentral:rRNA from 1 species
AACGAACGCUUGCGGCGCGCCUAAUACAUGCAAGUCGAACGAGGUAGCAAUACCAAGUGGCGCACGGGUGAGUAACGCGUGGAUAAUCUGCCUACCAGUGGGGAAUAACUAUCCGAAAGGAUAGCUAAUACCGCAUGAGGCCACAGUUUCUGCGGAAACAGGGGUUAAAGAUUUAUCGCUGGUAAAUGAGUCUGCGUGGGAUUAGCUAGUUGGUGAGGUAAUGGCUCACCAAGGCAACGAUCUCUAACAGGUCUGAGAGGAUGACCUGUCACACUGGAACUGAGACACGGUCCAGACUCCUACGGGAGGCAGCAGUAGGGAAUAUUGCACAAUGGGGGAAACCCUGAUGCAGCGACGCCGCGUGAGUGAUGAAGGCCUUAGGGGUCGUAAAGCUCUGUUGAAUGGGAAAGAAAAAAUGACGGUACCAUUCGAGAAAGGAUCGGCU